CACGUAGGGGGGCGAGCGUUGUCCGGAUUUAUUGGGCGUAAAGAGCCUCGUGAGCGGCUCAGUAAGUCAGGUGUGAAAACUCCAGGCUCAACCUGGAGACGCCACUUGAUACUGCUGUGGCUAGAGUCCGGUAGGGGAGCAUGGAAUUCCUGGUGUAGCGGUGAAAUGCGCAGAUAGUCAGGAGGAACACCAGUGGGCGAAGGCGGCUAACUGGUCCGAGCACAUGAC
rnacentral:rRNA from 1 species